rnacentral:snoRNA from 1 species
AAGACUAUACUUCCAGGGAUCAUUUCUCUAGCUUGUUACUAGAGAAGUCUCUCUGAAGGUUUAGAGCACCCAAAUGAUACUAGUACAUGGUGGG